rnacentral:rRNA from 1 species
GAUGAACGCUAGCGGCAGGCCUAAUACAUGCAAGUCGAACGGGAUUAAGAGGCUUGCUUCUUAUGAGAGUGGCGCACGGGUGCGUAACACGUAUGCAACCUACCUUUAACUGGGGGAUAGCCUUCCGAAAGGAAGAUUAAUACCGCAUAAUAUAAUGAAGUGGCAUCACUUUAUUAUCAAACUAUUUGGGUUAAAGAUGGGCAUGCGUCCGAUUAGCUAGUUGGUACGGUAACGGCGUACCAAGGCGACGAUCGGUAGGGGAUCUGAGAGGAUGGCCCCCCACACUGGUACUGAGACACGGACCAGACUCCUACGGGAGGCAGCAGUAAGGAAUAUUGGUCAAUGGACGGAAGUCUGAACCAGCCAUGCCGCGUGCAGGAAGACGGUCCUCUGGAUUGUAAACUGCUUUUGUUAGGGAAGAAACUUCCGUACGUGUACGGGACUGACGGUACCUAAAGAAUAAGGAUCGGCUAACUCCGUGCCAGCAGCCGCCGUAACAC